UGGGGAAUAUUGGACAAUGGGCGCAAGCCUGAUCCAGCCAUACCGCGUGGGUGAAGAAGGCCUUCGGGUUGUAAAGCCCUUUUGUUGGGAAAGAAAAGCAUUCGGUUAAUACCCGAGUGUUCUGACGGUACCCAAAGAAUAAGCACCGGCUAACUUCGUGCCAGCAGCCGCGGUAAUACGAAGGGUGCAAGCGUUACUCGGAAUUACUGGGCGUAAAGCGUGCGUAGGUGGUGAUUUAAGUCCGUUGUGAAAGCCCUGGGCUCAACCUGGGAAUUGCAGUGGAUACUGGGGUCACUAGAGUGUGGUAGAGGAUAGUGGAAUUUCCGGUGUAUGCAGUGAAAUGCGUAGAGAUCGGAAGGAACAUCUGUGGCGAAGGCGACUAUCUGGGCCAACACUGACACUGAGGCACG
rnacentral:rRNA from 1 species